CGGUGUGUGGCGGAAAUGGCAUACGCAGGGAAUCAGAUUCAAGAGAUAGCAUCAAAUGUGGAACUUACCCAAAAUUACAGGUUCGACCCCUGUCACACCGA
rnacentral:tRNA from 1 species